UUAAAUUGAAGAGUUUGAUCAUGGCUCAGAUUGAACGCUGGCGGCAGGCCUAACACAUGCAAGUCGAACGGUAACAGGAAGCAGCUUGCUGCUUUGCUGACGAGUGGCGGACGGGUGAGUAAUGUCUGGGAAACUGCCUGAUGGAGGGGGAUAACUACUGGAAACGGUGGCUAAUACCGCAUAAUGUCGCAAGACCAAAGAGGGGGACCUUCGGGCCUCUUGCCAUCAGAUGUGCCCAGAUGGGAUUAGCUUGUUGGUGAGGUAACGGCUCACCAAGGCGACGAUCCCUAGCUGGUCUGAGAGGAUGACCAGCCACACUGGAACUGAGACACGGUCCAGACUCCUACGGGAGGCAGCAGUGGGGAAUAUUGCACAAUGGGCGCAAGCCUGAUGCAGCCAUGCCGCGUGUAUGAAGAAGGCCUUCGGGUUGUAAAGUACUUUCAGCGGGGAGGAAGGUGUUGUGGUUAAUAACCGCAGCAAUUGACGUUACCCGCAGAAGAAGCACCGGCUAACUCCGUGCCAGCAGCCGCGGUAAUACGGAGGGUGCAAGCGUUAAUCGGAAUUACUGGGCGUAAAGCGCACGCAGGCGGUCUGUCAAGUCGGAUGUGAAAUCCCCGGGCUCAACCUGGGAACUGCAUUCGAAACUGGCAGGCUUGAGUCUUGUAGAGGGGGGUAGAAUUCCAGGUGUAGCGGUGAAAUGCGUAGAGAUCUGGAGGAAUACCGGUGGCGAAGGCGGCCCCCUGGACAAAGACUGACGCUCAGGUGCGAAAGCGUGGGGAGCAAACAGGAUUAGAUACCCUGGUAGUCCACGCCGUAAACGAUGUCUACUUGGAGGUUGUGCCCUUGAGGCGUGGCUUCCGGAGCUAACGCGUUAAGUAGACCGCCUGGGGAGUACGGCCGCAAGGUUAAAACUCAAAUGAAUUGACGGGGGCCCGCACAAGCGGUGGAGCAUGUGGUUUAAUUCGAUGCAACGCGAAGAACCUUACCUGGUCUUGACAUCCACAGAACUUUCCAGAGAUGGAUUGGUGCCUUCGGGAACUGUGAGACAGGUGCUGCAUGGCUGUCGUCAGCUCGUGUUGUGAAAUGUUGGGUUAAGUCCCGCAACGAGCGCAACCCUUAUCCUUUGUUGCCAGCGGUCCGGCCGGGAACUCAAAGGAGACUGCCAGUGAUAAACUGGAGGAAGGUGGGGAUGACGUCAAGUCAUCAUGGCCCUUACGACCAGGGCUACACACGUGCUACAAUGGCGCAUACAAAGAGAAGCGACCUCGCGAGAGCAAGCGGACCUCAUAAAGUGCGUCGUAGUCCGGAUUGGAGUCUGCAACUCGACUCCAUGAAGUCGGAAUCGCUAGUAAUCGUGGAUCAGAAUGCCACGGUGAAUACGUUCCCGGGCCUUGUACACACCGCCCGUCACACCAUGGGAGUGGGUUGCAAAAGAAGUAGGUAGCUUAACCUUCGGGAGGGCGCUUACCACUUUGUGAUUCAUGACUGGGGUGAAGUCGUAACAAGGUAACCGUAGGGGAACCUGCGGUUGGAUCACCUCCUUACCUGAAAGAA
rnacentral:rRNA from 1 species